rnacentral:tRNA from 1 species
GCAGCGAUAGCUCAGCGCUAGAGCGCCGGCCUUGUAAGCCGGAUGUCGAGGGUUAGACCCCCUCUCACUGCU